rnacentral:rRNA from 1 species
UGGGGGAAUAUUGCACAAUGGGGGGAAACCCUGAUGCAGCGACGCCGCGUGAGCGAAGAAGUAUUUCGGUAUGUAAAGCUCUAUCAGCAAGGAAGAUAAUGACGGUACUUGACUAAGAAGCUCCGGCUAAAUACGUGCCAGCAGCCGCGGUAAUACGUAUGGAGCAAGCGUUAUCCGGAUUUACUGGGUGUAAAGGGAGCGUAGACGGUGUGGCAAGUCUGAUGUGAAAGCCCGGGGCUCAACCCCGGAACUGCAUUGGAAACUGUCGUACUAGAGUGCAGGAGAGGUAAGCGGAAUUCCUAGUGUAGCGGUGAAAUGCGUAGAUAUUAGGAGGAACACCAGUGGCGAAGGCGGCUUACUGGACUGUAACUGACGUUGAGGCUCGAAAGCGUGGGGAGCAAACAGGAUUAGAUACCCUGGUAGU